GCAUAUCCAAUAAGCGGAGGGAAAAAGAAAUCCAACCAGGGAUUGCCCCCAGUAACCGGCGGAGUGAAGCCGGCAAAAGCUCCAAAUUUGAAAUUCUUGGCCCUUUCAGGGUCCGAGUUGUUAAUUUGCAGAGGAUGCUUCGGGUGCGGCCCCCGGCCUAAGUUCCUUGGAACAGGACGUCAUAGAGGGUGAGAAUCCCGUCUUUGGUCGUCGGCCCGCGCCCGUGUGAAGCUCCUUCGAAGAGUCGAGUUUGUUUGGGAAUGCAGCUCUAAGCGGGUGGUAAAUUUCAUCUAAAGCUAAAUAUUGGCCGGAGACCGAUAGCGCACAAGUAGAGUGAUCGAAAGGUUAAAAGCACCUUGAAAAGGGAGUUAAACAGCACGUGAAAUUGUUGAAAGGGAAGCGCUUGCGGCCAGACUCGGGUGCGGGGUUCAGCGGGCGCGUGUCGCCCGUGCACUCCCCGUUUCCCGGGCCAGCAUCAGUUUCGACGGCCGGUCAAAGGCCUCUGGAAUGUGUCGUCUCUCGGGACGUCUUAUAGCCAGGGGUGCAAUGCGGCCUGUUGGGACUGAGGAACGCGCUUCGGCUCGGAUGCUGGCAUAAUGGCCGUAAGCGGCCCGUCUUGAAACACGGACCAAGGAGUCUAACAUCCACGCGAGUGUUCGGGUGUCAAACCCGUGCGCGCAGUGAAAGCGAACGGAGGUGGGAGCCUUAGGGCGCACCAUCGACCGAUCCUGAAGUCUUCGGAUGGAUUUGAGUAGGAGCGUGGCCGUUGGGACCCGAAAGAUGGUGAACUAUGCCUGAAUAGGGUGAAGCAGAGGAAACUCUGGUGGAGGCUCGCAGCGGUUCUGACGUGCAAAUCGAUCGUCAAAUUGGGCAUAGGGCGAAAGACUAAUCGACCAUCUAGUAGCUGGUCUGC
rnacentral:rRNA from 1 species